CCUGCGGGCUCCCCAUCCAACAUAUCUUGAAACACGAACAAAGGAGUCUGACAUGCGUGCGAGUCCACGGGCUUUGAAACCUGGGAUGCUUAAGGAAGCUGACGAGUGGGAGGCCCUCACGGGCUGCACGGCUGGCCAACCCGGAUCUUCUAUGAAGGGCUCGAGUUGGAGCGCACCUGUCAGGACCCGAAAGAUGGUGAACUAUGCGUGAGCGGGGCGAAGCCACACGUAACUCUGGUGGAGGCUCGAAGCGAUACUGACGUGCAAAUCGUUCGCCUGACUUGGGUAUAGGGGCGAAAGACUAA
rnacentral:ncRNA from 1 species